rnacentral:rRNA from 1 species
UAGAGUUUGAUCAUGGCUCAGAUAGAACGCUGGCGGCAUGCCUAACACAUGCAAGUCGAACGGCAGCGCGGGCUUCGGCCUGGCGGCGAGUGGCGGACGGGUGAGGAAUACAUAGGAAUCUGCCCAGUCGUGGGGGAUAACCCGGGGAAACCCGGACUAAUACCGCAUACGACGGUGACGUGAAAGCCGGGGACCUUCGGGCCUGGCGCGAUUGGAUGAGCCUAUGUCGGAUUAGCUAGUUGGCGGGGUAAAGGCCCACCAAGGCGACGAUCCGUAGCUGGUCUGAGAGGAUGAUCAGCCACACUGGGACUGAGACACGGCCCAGACUCCUACGGGAGGCAGCAGUGGGGAAUAUUGGACAAUGGGCGCAAGCCUGAUCCAGCAAUGCCGCGUGGGUGAAGAAGGCCUUCGGGUUGUAAAGCCCUUUUGUACGGGAAGAAAUCAUCCGGGUUAAUACCCUGGGUGGAUGACGGUACCGUAAGAAUAAGCACCGGCUAACUUCGUGCCAGCAGCCGCGGUAAUACGAAGGGUGCAAGCGUUAAUCGGAAUUACUGGGCGUAAAGCGUGCGUAGGUGGUUGUUCAAGUCUGUCGUGAAAGCCCUGGGCUCACCUGGGAAUGGCGAUGGAAACUGGGCGACUGGAGUGCGGUAGAGGAUGGCGGAAUUCCCGGUGUAGCGGUGAAUGCGUAGAGAUCGGGAGGAACAUCCGUGGCGAAAGGCGCAUCUGGACCACCACUGACACUGAGGCCGAAAGCGUGGGGAGCAAAGGAUUAAAACACUGGUAGUCACGCCUAAACCAUCCAAUG